rnacentral:rRNA from 1 species
UACGGAGUGUGCAAGCGUUACUCGGAAUCACUGGGCAUAAAGGCGCGUAGGCGGCCUUUCAAGUGACGGGUGAAAUCCCUCGGCUUAACCGAGGAACUGCCUGUCAGACUGGAAGGCUUGAGACCGGGAGAGGUGAGUGGAAUUCCCAGUGUAGCGGUGAAAUGCGUAGAUAUUGGGAGGAACACCAGUGGCGAAGGCGGCUCACUGGACCGGUACUGACGCUGAGGCGCGAAAGCGUGGGGAGCAAACAGGG